UGGGGAGGUUCUUCACGAUAAGCCGAGACAUGUCGGCAACAGAGAGCAGCCCCACUGAACACGGCACUAGGCCCAACCAGGCUCAGAGCCCCGCACGCCGCCCCUGGGCGCCGCCAUCUUCCCGCUGCAUCACGUGAGCACGGAGAGGCAGCGCGCAGGCGCGGUGAGGCGGGGCCCGGCGACGGGCCGCAGGAAGGCUCAUACCAACGGGCCUUAGCAACGGGGCGGAACAGGAAAGUGGGGCUGUUCCCCUCGGAGCAGCCCCUCUCGCUUCCAACGGCAUGGCUCAGGUCUGCCUCGUGCAGAGGGCUUCGUCUGCAAGAGGAGGCUCAACUCCUGCGCAGCUCCGGCCCUGCCCGCAGGAAGAAGUGCAGGUACUAGCAAGGACAAAGAUGAGCAUGACCCAGCAACAAUCACCAGUUCCUUUAGCUGCAUGGACACUCUGCACAUGCAGAGAACGUUUCAGGAGCAGCUCUGCUGGAAAUGCUGCCCUAAGUUUGAAUUUUGCUGCAGUCAGCUCCAGCCUGCAGGAGACUUUGAUCUUUCAGAGCAGAGAUGGCUGGACCCACCUCAUAUGAGCGAAUUGUCCUACCUGACCCUACAGGAAGAACAUCAAGAUCUUGGAAGUGUGGUACCCAAUGAAUCCAUCUCCCUCGUACUGCACAAGGAGAUGGAGCCCAUGGGAAGAGCAGAACAUGCUGCCUUGCUGAAGGGCUUCACCUAGAGUAGACAGAUCCUCUGCUGCAUGGAAAGGAUGUUUUCCUGCUUGCUGAUUGCUGCAGCAUCACCAUGGGCAGAAUUCACCUUUCAUCCAGAUAAAUCAUCACCUGGGCUUGCCUGCUUCAUGGUCUGUAAAUGUGUCCUGUGGUCCUGGUCUCUGCACUUCCUGUCUGCAACUUUGGAGCGGAGUGUGUCUUUCCAGAGCCU
rnacentral:lncRNA from 1 species